rnacentral:rRNA from 1 species
GUGCACCAGUCGCGAAACCUCCGCAAUGCGCGCAAGCGCGACGGGGCCAUCCCGAGUGCCGCUCGCUGAGGGCGGCUUUUCUCCGGUGUAAGUAGCCGGAGGAAUAAGGAGAGGGCAAGUCUGGUGUCAGCCGCCGCGGGUAAUACCAGCUCUCCGAGUGGUGGGGACGAUUAUUGGGCCUAAAGCGUCCGUAGCCGGCUUGACAAGUCUCCCGUUAAAUCCAGCGGCCUAACCGCUGGGCCGCGGGAGAUACUGGUCAAGCUUGGGGGCGGGAGAGGCCAGCGGUAUUCCCGGGGUAGGGGUGAAAUCCGUUAAUCCCGGGAGGACCACCAGUGGCGAAGGCGGCCGGCCAGAACGCGCCCGACGGUGAGGGACGAAAGCUGGGGGAGCGAACCAGAUUAGA